UGCUGGGCUGCGGUUGGAUGAACAUCUGUGAUGCGAUUCACAGUUACAAAAAUUAACCGUGGGUUUGGCUACCUGCGGUUUCAUGUUUCAUGCAAAUGUGGCCAUUGUCUGAUCUCAGCCGCCUGAGGGGGCAACUGCGCAAGAUGCGAGGGUGACUGAUUUGAUUUGAAGUAUACAUUGCUACUAAGACACCUGCGAGGUAAGAGUAUUCAAAAUCUGACCUUGGCAAGAUCGGGUUCCCAGAUGGAUGUGGUAGAAUCAGCAGUGGUUGAGGCAAUACAGCUAUGAAGAGUCCCAUCUUCUGGUCCCUUGGGGAACUUGAACAAUUCAGUAGCUUGAGCCACAGUCUCAGAACAGUAACCCCGGUGACAUUGCAACUGCAUUCUGAUCCAGAAAUCGAACUGGAUGUUCCAUUCUCAGCCACACGCUGAACUCUGCUUCCAUGUGCCAAUGAUAAGCACUGAGGUGAGGAGAGGAUGAUGAUCU